GACUUCUGAGAUACAAAUGUCAGACUGACAGUAGUGACUCAGAAGCAGAAAUUCAAAAAAUGCACUUGCUGUAAAUUCUGCUACACUGCCCAGGGCACUUCUUGGUCUGUAUGUGUAACAUGUAUUCAGCUAUUGUAAAGUUUCUUUAACAGUCCUGGAAGUACUAUGACAGUAACAAGGAAGAUUGAUAGCAGAUUCCAUGCCUCUUUGUUAAUCACAUUAAGAACUCUGCUUGGUACUCUUUGAUGUUGUGUCUGGAAACAUACAUCCCCACCACACCAUAUUGAAAACUUUCAUCCUAUUACCCAUCUGCUGCCAGCAAAUGAUCAGUUUAAAGGCAAAAAAUGGGUGAUGGGGGUGUGAAAGUCAAAGAUUUGCCAAGCAUACCGUUUUUCUACUACUCAUUCUUCUAAUUACCUUUUGGGAAAUGAGAGAACCUAACCAUAUAACAUUUUGAAAUGUUUCCUUAGGGAAUCUGAAUAAUAUUUUAUGUAGCUUGAGUUACAUGAUAAUGACAAGCAUGUCUUCAAACAUUAGAAUUAAACCCAUGGAUGUGGCAUAGUGCCUGUUGUUUUUCAUCAUAAGAGUUUAUGAUAAAACUGAGUACUGGAGUCUGCAGUUUAUAAAAAGAUGUUUCCUUCUAUUUAGCUGGAGGAGUUUCUUAUACUGGUGGAUUGGUUCCCAGCGCCUACAGUCAGAUAAAUAAAAAGUUGCAGCAGGGGGACCAACUAGUAGGGAGUACAUUUCAUCGGUUGGAGAGAGGAAAUUUAUUUCUUCAAUUACUUUAGAACAUCUGCAUGUUACAAAGAGGAAUGUGCAUUAACACAAUUAACCAUUUCUUUUUUUUAAUUGAAUUCAUGGAUUCAUUCCUAAGUUUUCUAAUCAGUUUUGCUCUGGUGUCAUAAGUUAAGGGAGAAUCAAUACCAAACUAAUUUUCCUGCAUAAAGAGAUUACUUGGAUAAUAGAUUUUUUCCAGUGCUUUUGGAAAUAUUGAGUCUAAUAAAAUAACUCUAACAGAGAUACAAUUAUUCAUAUCAGUAAGUUGUUCAUCAGAAAUAUUUCACAAAGACUAGACCUGAAUCUAAAUUGGAGGCAAAAUCAUUCAAUUCAAUAGAGCAGUUGCACUUUUCUCAUAUAGUAAAAUGACCAGUUGCACCUAGUAAACAGUACAGCACAACCCCUAAGUGCAGGGGAUCUGGAGGCAAAACAUGAGGGUCAAAGCCUCACUGUACCACUUUCCAGCUGUGUAAUCUUGGGAAAGAUUCUUCAUCUGUAAAAUGAUGCUUAAAAGCUAUACCUGACUUUUAGGAUUGUUGUAAACAUUAAAUUUGUAAAUGAGAAUGAUCUUAUAACUGUACAUGUUAACCAUUGUUUAAACCUAUAUGAAUAAAAUUCUAGAUGAGUCA
rnacentral:lncRNA from 1 species